ensembl:lncRNA
GCGUGUCUGAUAUAAUCUGGUGCAAUAGGGCAUCGCUUUGAUGUACUUUUAAGUUGCAUUAUUGUUUGUGGAGCUGCAGUGGCACUUCCUCAGAAGACUCAGUGAAGAUGGCACAGGUGGUUUUUGCACUCUUAGCUGUGUCCCUGGUGUCACUCUGCACCGGACAGGACUUUUGCCCAAAGGAAAAAUGUCCUCAGUACAAAGUGGUUGAGACGCACCAGGACUUUGAGGUGCGCUUAUAUGGUGCUACCGACUGGAUUACCACAAAGCUCGACAGCACCAGGAUCAGGGAUUAUUUAGCUGCAAAUUCACGCCUGAAGACCUACGUCAAGAGACAGGCUGAAGCAGGUUUUGAGAUUCCUGAUGAUUGCCGGCCUGUACUGGUCACUGUUACUGAAGGUGAAGGUGAUCCUAAAAUGUCGGUGUCGUGGUUUGUUCCUUCUGGUGGCAAAAAGGGAGAAAUAUAUGAUCCAUUAGUCAAACUAGAAACUUAACCUGAAGCCACUAUCUAUGUAAGGGUUUUCGGUGGUGCUCCAAGCACUGAGACUGGCCAGGAAAACACAAAGACUCUUCGUGAGGCCUUGGCUAAGACUGGGAAAACCUUUGAUCCCAGCACUCAUGCUGCAGCUACCUAUGAAUCCUAUUUUUCUUUUACUCACCACAAUGAAAUCUGGAUCAGUGCUGCCUCACAACAACAGAACUAAGUAAAUGCUCUUGUCAGGUUGCAGACCUUUUGCACUGGUUGCUGCACAGAUAUGAUGUGUGCACAAAGGAACAGGGAAGAGAGAACGUCAACAGAACUAAGCAAACUGAUUUCUGGAAUGUUGUGGUUUAGUUUAGUUCCUGGAACUGAAAACAUAGUAACAGUUUGUUCUACUUUUUCUUUAUUCUCUUUCAUCUGUGAAUAGAAAGUAAUGAUUUCAGAUCACCCCUUAAUCCCAGGAGGACUUGGCUCACAAAACAUUGUUUGCUGGUUGAUUGUUUAGAACACCUUGAUAACUUUUAGACUCUAACAUGACAUUUUAUGUCUAUUUCUGGAGUUAUCAUUUAUAUUGAAGAGUUUAUUUUUAACCAUCUUAUUCUUAAAAUUUGAAAAGUGCAUUGUCCCUAAGAGAUAUAAAAUUGUUUUGUCGUUUUUCUAAAUUCCUGUUAUUUCUUACUGGGUAAUUUAUAUUCUGCAAUAAAACAGCAUUUUGUGAGCAUUUUGCAUUCUGUUACUGUGAAAUUUUCUAUAACUACACCUCCUAUAAAAGUCCCUUCCCCACCUAUACCUCACCUAUACCCCACCUAUCACUUUCAUGAGCAAGUUCAGAGACAAGCUAGAAGAUUCCAC